rnacentral:rRNA from 1 species
GAUGAACGCUGGCGGCGUGCCUAAUACAUGCAAGUCGAGCGAACAGAUGAGGAGCUUGCUCCUCUGACGUUAGCGGCGGACGGGUGAGUAACACGUGGAUAACCUACCUAUAAGACUGGGAUAACUUCGGGAAACCGGAGCUAAUACCGGAUAAUAUAUUGAACCGCAUGGUUCAAUAGUGAAAGACGGUUUUGCUGUCACUUAUAGAUGGAUCCGCGCCGCAUUAGCUAGUUGGUAAGGUAACGGCUUACCAAGGCAACGAUGCGUACCCGACCUGAGAGGGUGAUCGGCCACACUGGAACUGAGACACGGUCCAGACUCCUACGGGAGGCAGCAGUAGGGAAUCUUCCGCAAUGGGCGAAAGCCUGGCGGAGCAACGCCGCGUGAGUGAUGAAGGUCUUCGGAUCGUAAAACUCUGUUAUUAGGGAAGAACAAAUGUGUAAGUAACUAUGCACGUCUUGACGGUACCUAAUCAGAAAGCCACGGCUAACUACGUG